GACCUCGAAUCAGGUAGGAAUACCCGCUGAACUUAAGCAUAUCAAUAAGCGGAGGA
rnacentral:rRNA from 3 species